rnacentral:tRNA from 1 species
GGGGAUUUAGCUUAGUAGUAGAGUGCUUGCCUAGCAAGCAUAAGGCCCUGGGUUCGAUCCCCAGCUCCG